UACAGAGGUCCCAAGCGUUGUUCGGAUUUACUGGGCGUAAAGGGUGCGUAGGCGGUCGGGUAAGUCUGGUGUGAAAUCUCGCAGCUCAACUGCGAAACUGCAUCGGAUACUAUUCGGCUCGAGAGUUGGAGGGGAGACUGGAAUACUUGGUGUAGCAGUGAAAUGCGUAGAUAUCAAGUGGAACACCAGUGGCGAAGGCGAGUCUCUGGACAACUUCUGACGCUGAGGCACGAAAGCUAGGGGAG
rnacentral:rRNA from 1 species